GCGUCCGUAGUCUAGCGGUCAGGAUAUGAGCUUCCCAAGCUUAUGACCGGGGUUCGAAUCCCCGCGGACGCA
rnacentral:tRNA from 1 species